GCUUCGUAUGGGGGCACCUGACCGAGCACGCCGCGUGAGUGAAGAAGGUUUUCGGAUCGUAAAACUCUGUUGUUAGAGAAGAACGUUAAGUAGAGUGGAAAAUUACUUAAGUGACGGUAUCUAACCAGAAAGGGACGGCUAACUACGUGCCAGCAGCCGCGGUAAAU
rnacentral:rRNA from 1 species